rnacentral:rRNA from 1 species
UACAGAGGUCUCAAGCGUUGUUCGGAUUCAUUGGGCGUAAAGGGUGCGUAGGCGGCGCGGUAAGUCUGGUGUGAAAUCUCGGAGCUUAACUCCGAAACUGCAUUCGAUACUGCCGUGCUUGAGGACUGGAGAGGAGACUGGAAUUCCUGGUGUAGCGGUGAAAUGCGCAGAUAUCAGGAGGAACACCGGUGGCGAAGGCGGCUUCCUGGACCGACACUGACGCUGAGGCGCGAAAGCUAGGGGAGCAAACGGG